AUGGAGACCGAGAUUGUGGUCAGAAAUUUGCCGGAGCUACCGCGGGACGUAUUGAUGGAUAUCUUCGCCCUCCUGGAGAUCCCAGACCUCAAGCGUGCGGGCUCCGUCUGCUCCUCGUGGUGCUCUGUCUAUACCAGCCUAUGCAGCCGGCUUGAGCUGUACAAACGGCCCCAGACGCCUUGCCUCCUCUACACCUCUGAAUCUGCCGCUGACAACGUAGCUUGUCUCUACAGCCUCGCGGAAAAGCGGGUCUACAAUCUAACUCUUCCGGAUCCACCCAUCUGCAGCAGGUAUCUGAUUGGGUCCUCUCAUGGCUGGCUGAUCACCGCCGACGAGAGGUCCGAGCUACACCUUCUCAAUCCGAUCACCUGCCAACAGAUUGCUCUCCCGUCGGUAAUCACCAACGAGAGGGUGAAGCCGGUCUUUGACGAUGCAGGCACAAUUAAGGAGUAUGAAUUGUGGGAGCCAAAGUAUGACGUUGAGCUAGACUGUGAAUUGGAUGAUCAUCAUAAGUCAACCCAUGCUCUGGACAAGCUUCGUGACUUGUUCUACAUCAGGGCAUACAUAUUUCCUCAUCCGUCUACACGAAGCUACAUUGUGGUUCUCAUCCACAGCGGAUCACAACUUUCGUUUGCAAGAGUAGGAGAUUGUAAGUGGACAUUGCUGCCGCGGGGUAAUGACUAUGAAGACUGCAUCUACAUGGAUGGCCUAUUGUAUGCCUUCACGAGCUUUGGACAAAUUGAUACUUUUGAUCUCCACAGUCCUACCAUUACAAGGAAUAGAAUUAUAGGCGACAUGAAGACUUAUACUCAAGGGCGGCUGUACGUUCUCCAGGCUCCAUCUGGUGAUCUGCUGCAAGUUCACAGGAUUUUGGAACUCGAAGAUACUGAUGAUAAGGAGGAGGAGGCCAUACUUGUGACUAACAGCAUAUUGUUAUAUAAGGUUGAUAUGGCAGCAAAAGACCUUGUGUUAAUAAACGACUUGCAUGAUCAAGUGCUAUUUCUCGGGUGUAACCAGUCGCAAUACCGUAGCGCUGACGAAUUCCCUCAGCUGAAGCCAAAUUGUGUUUAUUUCACUGAUGAUGAGGCAUAUGUUUGGAAGUAUAAGAAUUAUUGCCGGGAUAUAGGUGUUAUCAACUUGGAAAAUAACAAAAGGGAAGAAAUUCUACCUCAGCUUUGGUGUAGCUGGCCAAAUCCCAUAUGGGUAACACCGAAUCUUGCAAGGAUGAACUGGGGUUGUACAAAUAGAUGA
rnacentral:rRNA from 1 species